GACGAACGCUGGCGGCGUGCUUAACACAUGCAAGUCGAACGGAAAGGCCCUGCUUUUGUGGGGUGCUCGAGUGGCGAACGGGUGAGUAACACGUGAGUAACCUGCCCUUGACUUUGGGAUAACUUCAGGAAACUGGGGCUAAUACCGGAUAGGAGCUCCUGCUGCAUGGUGGGGGUUGGAAAGUUUCGGCGGUCGGGGAUGGACUCGCGGCUUAUCAGUUUGUUGGUGGGGUAGUGGCUUACCAAGGCUAUGACGGGUAGCCGGCCUGAGAGGGUGACCGGACAGACUGCACGUGAGACAGGGCCCAGACUACUACGGGAGGCAGGGGUGGGGAAUAUUGUACAAGGGGCGCAAGCGUGACGUAGCAAUGCCGGGGGUAGGAAGAAGGCCUUCGGGUUGUAAAGGACUUGGAGUGGGGAGGAAGGGAGAAAAGAUAAUAGAGUGGCUAAUUGACGUUACCUGAAGAAGAAGCAACGGCUAACUCCGUG
rnacentral:rRNA from 1 species